rnacentral:rRNA from 1 species
AAUAUUGGUCAAUGGAGGCAACUCUGAACCAGCCACGUCGCGUGCAGGAUGACUGCCCUACGGGUUGUAAACUUCUUUUAUACAGGAAUAAAGUGAGGCACGUGCGACUUUUUGCAUGUACUGGAAGAAUAGGGAUCGGCUACCGCGGUGCCAGCAGCCGCGGUAAUACGGAGGAUCCAAGCGUUAUCCGGAUUUAUUGGGUUUAAAGGGUGAGCAGGCGGAAGGUUAAGUCGGCGGUGAAAUUUUGCAGCUCAACGGUAAAAGUGCCAUCGAUACUGGUUUUCUUGAGUGUGGAUGAAGUAGGCGGAAUUUGUGGUGUGGCGGUGAAAUGCAUAGAUAUCACGAGGAACUCCGAUUGCGCAGGCAGCUUACUAGGCCAUAACUGACGCUCAGGCACGAAGGCGUGGGGAUCAAACAGG